AUUUAUGUAGUUUAAAUAAAACAUUACACUUUCACUGUAAAAAUAUUAAAUUUAAUCAUAAAUU
rnacentral:tRNA from 1 species